UACGUAGGGUGCAAGCGUUGUCCGGAAUUAUUGGGCGUAAAGAGCUCGUAGGCGGUUUGUCGCGUCUGCUGUGAAAACUGGGGGCUCAACCCCCAGCCUGCAGUGGGUACGGGCAGACUAGAGUGCGGUAGGGGAGAUUGGAAUUCCUGGUGUAGCGGUGGAAUGCGCAGAUAUCAGGAGGAACACCGAUGGCGAAGGCAGAUCUCUGGGCCGUAACUGACGCUGAGGAGCGAAAGCAUGGGGAGCAAACAGG
rnacentral:rRNA from 1 species